AUUGAACGCUGGCGGCAGGCCUAACACAUGCAAGUCGAGCGGAUGAAGGGAGCUUGCUCCUGGAUUCAGCGGCGGACGGGUGAGUAAUGCCUAGGAAUCUGCCUGGUAGUGGGGGAUAACGUCCGGAAACGGGCGCUAAUACCGCAUACGUCCUGAGGGAGAAAGUGGGGGAUCUUCGGACCUCACGCUAUCAGAUGAGCCUAGGUCGGAUUAGCUAGUUGGUGGGGUAAAGGCCUACCAAGGCGACGAUCCGUAACUGGUCUGAGAGGAUGAUCAGUCACACUGGAACUGAGACACGGUCCAGACUCCUACGGGAGGCAACAGUGGGGAAAAUUGGACAAUGGGCGAAAGCCUGAUCCAGCCAUGCCGCGUGUGUGAAGAAGGUCUUCGGAUUGUAAAGCACUUUAAGUUGGGAGGAAGGGCAGUAAGUUAAUACCUUGCUGUUUUGACGUUACCAACAGAAUAAGCACCGGCUAACUUCGUG
rnacentral:rRNA from 1 species